CAGCCGUAAACAAUGUGCGUUAGGUGUGUCGGUAACCACGCGUUACUGAUGCGCCGAAGAGAAAUCGUGAAACGCACCACCUGGGAAGUACGGUCGCAAGGCUGAAACUUAAAGGAAUUGGCGGGGGAGCACCACAACAGGUGGAGCCUGCGGUUAAUUGGAUUCAACGCCGGACAUCUCACCGGAUAAGACAGCUGAAUGAUUGUCAAUCUGAAGGUUUUACAUGACUAGCUGAGAGGUGGUGCAUGGCGUCAGUGACU
rnacentral:rRNA from 1 species